rnacentral:rRNA from 1 species
GUUAACGCUGGCAGUGUGCCUAACACAUGCAAGUCGAGCGCGCCUUCGGGCGAGCGGCGGACGGCUGAGUAGAACAAAGGAACGUACCCCGAAGUGUGGAAUACCCGGCCGAAAGGUCGGCUAAUGCCACAUGUUGAAGCAAUUCCAAAGCCGCAAGGCGCUUUGGGAGCGGCCUUUGACCUAUCAGGUUGUUGGUGGGGUAAAAGCCUACCAAGCCGACGACGGGUAGCUGGUCUGAGAGGACGACCAGCCAGACUGGGACUGAGACACGGCCCAGACUCCUACGGGAGGCAGCAGUUGGGGAUCUUGCGCAAUGGACGAAAGUCUGACGCAGCGACACUGCGUGGAGGAUGACGGCUCUCGGGUUGUAAACUCCUUUUAUAUAGGAAUAAUCUUGAAGGUACUAUAUGAAUAAGCACCGGCUAACUACGUGCCAGCAGCCGCGGUAAUACGUAGGGUGCAAGCGUUACCCGGAUUUAUUGGGCGUAAAGCGCGUGUAGGCGGCUUGUUGCGUCUGCCAUGAAAUCUCUCGGCUCAACCGAGAGCCCGUGGCGGAUACGGACAAGCUUGAAUGUGGCAGGGGCUGAUGGAACUUUGCAUGGAGCAGUGAAAUGCGUUGAGAUGCAAAGGAACACCGAUGGCGAAGGCAGUCAGCUGGGUCACUAUUGACGCUGAGACGCGAAAGCGUGGGGAGCGAACGGGAUUAGAUACCCCGGUAGUCCACGCCGUAAACGAUGCAGACUAGGCAUUGGCAGUAUCGACCCUGCUGGUGCCGUAGCUAACGCGUGAAGUCUGCCGCCUGGGGAGUACGGCCGCAAGGCUAAAAUUCAAAGGAAUUGACGGGGACCCGCACAAGUGGUGGAGCGUGUGGUUUAAUUCGAUACUAAGCGAAGAACCUUACCAGGGCUUGACAUUCUGCUGCAAGCGCACGGAAACGUGUGACCUUCGAGGGUGCAGAACAGGUGCUGCACGGUUGUCGUCAGCUCGUGUUGUGAAAUGUACGGUUCAGUCCGCCAACGAGCGCAACCCCUAUUGUCUGUUGGACUUCCUCUCAGGCAAGACUGCCGGUGUUAAACCGGAGGAAGGUGGGGAUGACGUCAAAUCAGCGUGGCUCUUACGUCCUGGGCGACACACGCGCUACAAUGGGGUGUAACAAUGGGUUGCCAAACCGCAAGGUGGAGCUAAUCCCACCAAACCACCCCCCAGUUCAGAUUGAGGGCUGCAAUUCGCCCUCAUGAAGCCGGAAUCGCUAGUAACGGCCAGUCAGCCAUAUGGCCGUGAAUACGUUCUCGGGUCUUGUACACACCGCCCGUCAAGUCAUGAAAGUCAGAUACACCCGAAGUCCCACGUUCGUGGGCCCACGGUGGAGCUGGUAAUCGGGACU